GUGUGUGUGUGUGUGUGUGUGUGUGUGUGUGUGUGUUGAAUUUAUUUAAACUACAUUGAAAGACACACAGUUAAAUAAACAGUCUCUCCCAGUUCAUCUUUUUCUUCCACUAACUCAUUUCAGGUUUCCAGCAUGUGGUUUAUUUAACUUUCAUGCCUCAUCUUUCCUGAGCUUCCUAAAGAAGACUGACAGACAGAAUGAGUUUGUGUGUGUGUGUGUGUGUGUGUGUGUGUGUGUGUGUGUGUGUGUGUAACUUUGAGUGGUCAAAACUUUGACCAUAGGUAAAGCCAUGUUAGGAAGUUUUGGAUUUAUUUGUAGGUUUAUGUGCUUUUGGUGUUAAACAGUAUUCAUUAUGGGCUGAAGUCUUUUUACCCAGAAUCCCACACACACCCUUCUGGUUUCAAGGUCUUGAUACACAGUAUUACACAAGGGUGGAUAAAUCAUUAGCCCAGACGCCUGGGAAAAGCAGAUUACACAUCUGGGUGGUCAGUUUUUUUAUUUUUUUUAUUUUUUCCCCCUUGCUCGGUGGCUAGGUGACUCAGUAGACUGAUGGUCUCCAGGAUUUUAUUAUUUUUUUCUUUCAGAGAAGUUUACCAGUCUCUCUAGCAGGCCAUUUGAUACCCUUUUGAAAGCAACACACUCAAACAGAUGAAUGAACUGGUGUCAUGAUUAACAUGUAAACGUCAGAAAGAUGUCGAUCCUGCUUGUUGUUGAUGAAUGACAAUGGGGAAGUUUUACAACGCGAAUACGUAGUCACGUCGCUGGGAAUUGACUCAUCAGUGGCCCGGUGUGCAGUGAGCCAGGACUUUACCAGUGCCCCAACUCGUGUACGCGAUAUACUGAUUCACCACCUAGGGAGUGAGGGAGCUGAUUGAGACACAGCUUUAAUCUUGCUAGCUUUACACCUGACCAUGCGCGUCUGCCCGCAUGAAAACACAAAACCCCGGGAUCCCAGUCCUGAUACAUAUCUGUAUCUGAAUACAGAGACUGUAGAUACUUGGAGUCAAAACCCCAGCGCCUGCUGCACAACAAACACCAACUGGGAAUUAGUCAGGUCAGUUAUAUUAAUACCAGUCUAUAUUACUGACUUUACGAACUAGCGAACUUGCUUAUUAUGCCUGGAGUAAGUUAAUGUAGCUACCAUUUUUAGCCUAGUUUAUGUCGCUAGUCUUUUAUUUUGUGAUAAUAGCAGCACAUAGCAGUGUAUUAUAACACAUAGCAGUUGUUCAUAACAGUGAUAAUAGCAGCACAUAGCAGUGUAUUAUAACAGUGAUAAUAGCAGCACAUAGCAGUGUAUCAUAACAGUGAUAAUAGCAGCACAUAGCAGUGUAUUAUAACAGUGAUAAUAGCAGCACACAGCAGUGUAUUAUAACAGUGAUAAUAGCAGCACAUAGCAGUGUAUUAUAACAGUGAUAAUAGCAGCACAUAGCAGUGUAUUAUAACACAUAGCAGUGUAUUAUAACAUGAUAAUAGCAGCACAUAGCAGUGUAUUAUAACACAUAGCAGUGUAUUAUAACAGUGAUAAUAGCAGCACAUAGCAGUGUAUCAUAACAGUGAUAAUAGCAGCACAUAGCAGUGUAUUAUAACACAUAGCAGUGUAUUAUAACAGUGAUAAUAGCAGCACAUAGCAGUGUAUUAUAACAGUGAUAAUAGCAGCACACAGCAGUGUAUUAUAACAGUGAUAAUAGCAGCACAUACAAAAACAGGACUCGCCUAUCAUAUGUUCUUUGUGAAGUUCAUUGAAAUAGAUAAGUUUUAUACUUCGCUGAGUUUUGUUUGAAGAUCUUGUUGGACUAUUGGAAGAGCAUCAGUCAGUAGAUUAUGUUGGAAGUUUUCAUGUGUAAUCGGCGCUUCUUCUGAGUCAGAGGUUCCGCAGAGCUUCUGCUGUACUGUAAGCGCUAGUGUGCAUGUUGAAGGGUUGUGCUGAUUGAAGAUAGAUUUUCCACUCCAUUUCAGUGUUUUACUGAGACUGCACAUUUCAUCACAUGCGUUUCUGUAUGCCGUAAGGGCCUCUUUAUCACUUCUAUGAGCACUGAAGUGCAGUCAAGGUCAGGACGUUUCAGCGAGGUUGCUCUAAAUGAAGCCGAAAGAGUUGCAACCAGUUUCCUAAUGCUCGUCCUCUAUUUUCCCCCUCAUGUAGUGCUCAGUUUGUGUCUGACUGAGAGAGAGAGAGAGAGAGAGACAGAGUUUUAUACGAUCGAUUGUAAAUAGUGUUGCUGUGUCCCGGCCACGUUGCCAUGGCUCUUAAUUAGAUUACUGAAUACGAGCUUCUUGGUGACGGUUUGAGCAAAAGCAAGUCGAUACAUUAACACAGCCUGCCAUGUCCCAUCACACCGUCCUUUACUAACGCACGCCCCGGCUGAGCAGAGGCCAGAGAGAUGGACCCUGAAAUCAGCACGACAGAAUGAAGAGGAGAGAGAGACAGAGGGUGGGAGAGAGAGGGAGAGAUAGAGAGAGGGAGGGAGAGAGAGAGAGAGA
ensembl:lncRNA